AUACAGUGUGUUGUGUACAUAUGUAAUAGUUUGGAGGCAUGGAGUAAGUGAAUUUAUAGCCCUCCCUCAGAGAAGGAACACAGGAACUCAAGGCUACGAGCAGCUGAUGACAGACAGGAAGAUCGAGGAAGCCCCCUUAUGCCUUCCACCACGGGUCCUCGCCGGUCCUGAAGUCGGUCUCCACCCACGGGACGAAGAGGACCUUGCCGUCGUCGACGUCGGCGUGCACCAGGGCCAGCGACUGUUGUUGUUCCGAUCAGAUGAGCAAUUCAACCAAGAUCAGAUUCAGUCAAUUGAUGAAGGCAGAUCAUAUCAUUCAGCUAGAAUCAAGGAAGCAAAAUGAAUGAAAUGCAUUGCUCACCAGGGGCGCCGGGCCACGGACGACCCUGCCCUGGUUGUUGUACUGCGAGCCGUGGCAGGGGCAGAUGAACUUGUUCUCGGCGCUGUUCCACGGCACGACGCACCCCAGGUGGGUGCAGACGGCGUUGAUGCCGUAGGUGGCCAGCGUCUUGUCCUGCUCCACCACCAGGUACGUCGGGUCGCCCUUGAGCCCCUGCGCCAGCGUCCGGUCGUUGGGGCCGUGGGUCUUGAGCCACUCGUCCACCUUGAUGUCGUUGCCCAGCUUGUCCUUGGCGUACGUCCCGCCGCCGGCGCCGCCGGACCUGCAAAUUAUUACCCGUUGAGCUGCUGGCCGGCCGGUGACAGACAGGACUAGGCAGCUUACCCGGCGGGGAUGAAGAAGGCGCCGUAGGGGACGACCAUGCCGACGGUGGGCAGCGAGAUGGCGCCCAGGAGGAGGAGGUUCAUCAGCUUCCGCUUCUCCAUGUCGGGGACGCGGUCGGCGGGGAUGCUGCUCGCCGCCUGGCACGUGAUGCUCCGCCGGCCCAUCCCGAGGCCGAGGCCCUUCACCGGCUUGCCCAGCGAAGAAGCAGCGCGGGGCCGGCAGAGCUGCCAUUGCAGGCGCGCACAUCGCAUGCAAACG
rnacentral:lncRNA from 1 species